AAUGAGCAUGCCCACUAGAGCCAGAGUAGUGAAAACCUACAAACAAAACAACACGUACGUGAUGAAGGUGAGGAUCGAGAUAACGACAGGAAGAGCUGCCCAGGUGUACACGCACACUGCGUCCAGAUACUUCAGGGCCUUCAGGAUGCGGGAUGCCAGAACCUUAUUGAGUGGCACGAGCAGGAAAGCCACACCCAGACCUCCCAGGAAGGCGACGCCCAUCUGCAGGUAAGCAGGUAAAGGGCCAGGAUGAACUGGAAAGGAAGACUCCAAACUUCAUGGAAGCUGUUGAAAAAAUUGACCAGUCGGUCUGUGUCCGUGCUCAUGUAGUUGACCACCUCGCCCGUAGUGAAACGUGCCAGCGCCGAGCUGCUGACCCGCAGAGCUUUAGAAUAGAUGGUGGACACCACGGCGGCCCGAGCCUCCAGGGCCACCUUCGACACUUGGAAAACAAAGACGUUGCGG
ensembl:lncRNA